rnacentral:ncRNA from 1 species
AAAUGCAUCGUAUAAAGUUGAAAAUAAGGUUCAACAGUUUCUACCAAAUCACCUUAAAUGAUUUGACUACGAUAUGAAUUUUUAU